CACACCCCACACACACACACACACACACACACACACACACACACACACACACACACACACACACACACACACACAAUAAAGGGGAACAGGUGGUUCCAGUCAAGGUACGCCCACCAACAUCACCUCACCACGACUCGUACACCACCCACACUACUCUCCAUGAGUUGUGUUGUUUCAUUGUGUCUCUUGCGCUUCGCCGCAGCGAGUUAAAUAAACUCAAACCCAACUGACAGAGCAACACGACCACAUCCUUUUGGAGUCCGCUAGACCCAGAAGAUCUUCCGAUUAGAUUCGCCUUCCAAAUCCUUUAGCCGUUUGGUUAACUUUGUCCAGUGUGAAACACGUUUGUGCAACUCAGAUUCAGAUCUAGAGCACAGAGGGAUUAACGCCGUGGUAAAGGUUUGAUCCAUGGCGGUUCCCAGCGCGCUACUGGGACCAGUAUGAGUACUGGGUCUUAUCUGGUGGGGUGUGAUCUGAGACCACAGAAGGAGCCUGCAUGCCCUCAGCAGCCGUUAUCUACCGCUAAACACUUCCUGUGGCGCCCGGCGACUAGAGUAAACUUCCUCCACACUCACAAGUCACUCACUCAACCGUGCACACACAUGUAGACACCACGCACACACCAGACACAACCACAUGCACAAAACCACACAUACACAUACAGAGACAUAGACAACCAAAGGCACGAAACCACGCAUAAAACCACACACACACACACACACACACACAUGUAAACACCAUACACAAGCAUACACAAACACUCACACACGCACACACACACAUAGAAACAGACACACAGACACAC